rnacentral:ncRNA from 2 species
AUGAAGGCAGGGGGAGAGACUACAUUUGUAGCGCCGAAGGAGCAAGCUUAGCAGCGAAUCUCUCAGGCAAAAGAACCCUUGUUGGACG